UGUUUUUCAAGAUUUUAUAUUUUCUUUUCCAAAAUGUUUUUGUAUUUUGGUAUAAUAAUCCAGACAUAAAAGUGUUAAAGGAGUGAUUAUAGUGAAAUGUUUAUUUUUCGAGUUGUUUGUCUUGAAACUCCAAAUACUUUUCCACUAAUAACAUAAGCAACCUAUUUACAGUUCUACGUGUAGGAGCAAUAUGAUGUUUUCAUUGCAAUGCUAGUGCUGCAUCGUGCCUGUUAACAAGACUGUUAGCGUUCACAAUAAUUGCUAGUGAGUUUGUAAUGGAUUGGAAACGGCUGUAAUCGAUGUGUCUAUUGAUGUUGUUAUCAAAGUUAAGGAACUAAACACAGACAUUGUCAUACGAAGGUCAUUUACAUGAGGGCAGUAUUACAUUAUAUACGGUAACGAUACAAACUUUCCACAGUGCUGAAUUCAGUUGUUCCAGUUGCUGUCGCUAGGAGCUUUCCGCGGUGCUGAAACGACGAUGGUGAGCUGAUUUGAAGAAAGAGAACGGCAUACCCAACGAGAAAUCGACUUAGUGAGCGUUGGAAUUGAACAGUCUCUGUCUAUCAGCUGAUAACGACACCAGGGCAUAGCUCUCAUAAGUGUGGAGCACCUGUGCUGCGCAGUGUGCGAUCCCGAGGUCUCACGGCAAGUGGCUUUUGCAGAGCACGAGCAGUCUCUAUUUCGUUUUAAGGAAAAGUGUUGAUCCCAAGGACAUUCUUUUCUGUUAGCAGAGGACCGCUACUGAAAGGAAGCAUGAGUGCGGCACGAGAUUACAAAGUCGUUAUGAUGGUUCUCUUUGCAAUGAUGACGGACAUAGGCGCUGAAGGCACCUAUUCUGAGGAUGGGACGUCCGUCACACAGAGGGGACAGUCUGAGGGUGGAGGGCCCAGCCCGUACCCCAACACACGGGACACUGACAGAGGGAUCCCCCUGGUGACAACCGCCCCUCCCCUGAAUGUCCCCAACCAUCACACUCUCUACAAGGGCUUCCUCCAUCAGGAGUCCCUCCAAGGACAGCGGCAUUUCUUUGAGGACAGUGGGGGUGUGGUUACCCACCCCACUAUGCCACCCUCAGGUCCCCACUUUGCCAGAGACCCCUCCUCCACUCACACGGCGCCACACAAGGAAGAGCUGGCUUUCUCCGAUGUUGCCUCAACCACUACCAUUGUGGCAACAGCCACGUCACUGUUGGCAACACAGGGUAGCUCUGUUCCAGGGGGGCGUGUCUCUGUGGCUCAGAGAGGGGCGUUGACGAAUAGCAGGGGGAGGAGGACAGAGGAAGAAGCUGAUGCCAUGGAUACCCUGACCACUCCUGUCAUGCACACCUCUGCCCUCCCUCCCCACUCAAACACUCACAACCUGGCUGCUCCUAUGGGUGACAGGCACUCUGAGGUCCCUUCCCCAUCCACCAUGACUCCCCCAGCCUUGACCACUCUAGUGGAGAAGGAUAAAGGGAAGUCAGCAGAACACAACAUGAGCCAUGCCAGUGAUGGUGUAGCGAUGGACACUUCUGCAGUAUCUGGUGAUGUGGAUGAUGAGACCACUACGACUACUAUAACCACAACCACCAUCAUCACCACCAGCCUGCCCAACCCAGGUAAUGUAACACAGCCAGGCUAUGUAGCUACACACUUCUAAUGAUCACCUACUCUUAACCAGAG
ensembl:lncRNA